UGCUGAUGGGGUACAGACCAAAUCAAGAGACGAAACUCAAAUCACUCUUGUAAAGACUGUGGUCAAGUAAAGGUGGAUAAAAAAAACUGAUAUUGCGAAGUUUUAUCGCGAGUGAAAGCUUUUAUAAAGUAUAAUUCUAUUGGUUUUCGGAAGUGGUUCUUUAAGUUAAAUAGAGUGUGAAGCAAAACCGGCAGGAUUAGAAAGGCGAGCGAUCCCAUUCAACGUGGGUGUUUGUUCUGGACCGCCAGAAUCCGGACCGUCAUCACACUCGGUCGUCGCUAGGUGGCAAGCAGCCUGACCACCACCUUGGGUCCGGGUCAUCUAAUACCCGUAGCACCCGGCUGUGCGGCCGCUCUAGGAAACGACGAUUUCGAACCGAUCCGAAGAACCCAAGUGCGUCGACGCCAUCCGUAGCCAUCCUUCGUUGGAUCUCCAAAGCCAGCUGGCCAGCAAGUAAGCCCGUUCUUUAUGUGCACUAAUGAAAAAUGAGCUCGAAGAAAAUUUGUACAUAAUGUAAAUACAUUUGUAAAUGCAAGUUUGGUUUUACACUCUUUAAGUUCUUUUUAGUUUUUUUUCUCUCUUAGUAUUAGAAGUGUUUUGGGAUAUUUUUAGAAUU